CGGGCCUUCUACUUUGCUCAUGUUAGGGCGAGGUUCUCCUCCUGUCCCUAACAUGACUGUGGGGGCACAUAAGGGCAUUGUAGGACCUCUCCCCCCAUCCGAUCUAAAAGUAAUCGGGCCUUCGACUUUGCUCAUGUUAGGGCGAGGUUCUCCUCUUGUCCCUAACAUGGCUGUGGGGGCAUAUAAGGGCGUUGUAGGGCCUC
rnacentral:lncRNA from 1 species